CCUCCGAUAGCUCAGCUGGAAGAGCGCAAGACUGUAAUUGGCAGAUCAGAUUAUCUUGAGGUCGCUGGUUCGACCCCGGCUCGGAGGA